AUUUUGAUAUAUGUAGAUCUACUGUACAAUAUUGCUUUAGGGGACCAGACCACAUUACACGUAUCUGUCCUCCUAAUGUUGAUGGACAUUUGGGUUGUUUCUAGGUUUUUGCAAAUACAAAUGACACUACAGUCCAUGUUCUCAGAAGCCCCCACUGUGCACACAAGUGGAAAUUUAUCCAGGGGAGUUUUCGGAGGAGAGUUGCUGAGUCAAAGGUGAAGUGAUGUCUUCAUUCACAAAAUCUAAUUAGUAUAUUAACCAAACUUAGCUGUAUUCUACAGCUUUUCAGGUAAAUGGGGAGUAGGAAAGAAUAAGCCAGGGGUCCUCAACCCCCAGGCCAGGGACCGGUACUAAUCCCUGUGGCCUGUUAGGAACUAGUCUGCACAGCAGGAGGUGAGCAGCCUAUGAACGAGCAUUAUCACCUGAGCUCCGCCUCCUGUCAGAUCAGCAGUGGCCUUAGAUUCUCAUAGGAGCGGGAACCCCAUUGUGAACUGUGCAUGCGGGGGAUCUAGGUUGCAGGCUUCUUAUGAGAAUCUCACCAAUGUCUGAUGCUCUGAGAUGGAACAGUUUCAUCCUGAAACCAUCCCCUCUUCUGUCCCCCAUCUCACAGAAAAAUUGUCUUCUAUAAAACCGGUCCCUGGUGCCAAAAAUGUUGGGGACCACUACUAUAAGUCAAUUAUUAAUAAAUUUGAUUUCCUGGACCCAAUUGAGAGCUACUGGUUGGUUGUUCAUCUCUCGAAGGGUUAACUCAAAGUCUGUUCAUAGUGGAAGAAAUGAUCUGGCAGAUUGGGGGAAGUGAAUCCUCUUUGUGUCUUGGAUGUGGGGCAGGGACCAGCAGGGAGAAGCCAGCCCUUCAAUAAGUUUCCUUCUUUUUAUGUAAACUAGAAAAAGUUCACAGACUUAGUCUGGGAGGGAGAUAAAACUGGGUAUUGCUGUCUCUUGUGUUUUUUGGUCUAAGAAAAUUCCGUGGUUCAAAACUUGGCCGGUCUUCUCUGCUGGGUUUCUCAGCAGGCUUUCCUGUAGUGGCUGGGCUGCUGCUCAGUGUUAGAUGAUGGAAGCUUCUUUCAGCCAUCUAGCUGAUGCUUUCUUUGAAGAACUAUUCAGGGAAGAAGUGGGCCCAGGUUCCAUUCGAGUGAGACAUCAGGGGCAUGUCCCCUGCUGGCCUGGUGGGAGCCUAAGAAGGCUCUAGUGGCCAGUGUCCUGAGUGUUGCCACCACGCAGCCUGCAAGCAAGUCAGCCUUCAGUCUCAAAUCAACUGGUAACUGAGACGGUGUUCAGUGUGCUUAAUGCACUUUGUUUCACAGCCUUCUCUGUAAUCUUCAGCAAAGAGUAAUGUGUUUUGAACAUUCUUUAGAAAACACGUGGUGUGGCAUGGUGGCUCACACCUGUAAUCACAACACUUUGGGAGGCCGAGGUGGGUGGGUUGCUUGAGCCCAGGAGUUCAAGAACAGCUUGGGCAACAUGGUGAAACUCUGUUUCUACAGAAAAAUUGGCAUGCACCUGUAGUCACAGAUACUUGAGAGGUUGAGGUGGGAGGAUCACUUGAACCCAGGAGGUUGAGGCUGCAGUGAACUGUGACCGCACCACUGUACUUCAGCCUGGGCAACAGAGUGAGACCCUGUCUCAAAAAAAAAAAAAAAAAAAAGAAAAGAAAAGAAAAAAGAAAACAACAAGUAGAAGGUAACUUGAUGAGAAAAAAAACUAUCAAAGAAAAAAGUAAGAGAUGAAAAGCCUUCAUAUAUGGAGCUCUUCUAAGGCUGUUGAAGAAGGCUGUGGCAUGACCGCUCCCUCAUACUGUGUGCCAAGUUGAAUUAUGGUUGGGGAAAAGUCUGAGAGUGAUUACUCCUAUGACUAAUGAUUUGUUUCAGUGAUUCAGGUGCCUGUUGGAAAAACAUUCUGUGUAUAAUUUGGUAUAUCUGAACCACUGUGCUCUGCCAGGUUAUCAGAAAAAAACUUUUCAAUGGUUCCCACCUGGGAAGUCACUGGUGUGUGGGAUACACAGGCAUGUGUUUGUGU
rnacentral:lncRNA from 1 species